rfam:TPA: Bos taurus chromosome 6, whole genome shotgun sequence.
UCCCUGGUGGUCCAGUGGCUAUGACCCUGCACUCCUAAUGUAGGGGGUCCAAGUUCAAUUCCUGGUCAGGGAC